UGGUCCUGUUCUUAACUUAUC
ensembl:piRNA 21ur-5022 ncRNA